ACUUGUGCUUGAAUCAUCGGA
rnacentral:misc_RNA from 1 species